rnacentral:tRNA from 1 species
AAAUCUUAUAGUUUAACAAAAUAUUAAAUUGCAAGUUUAAAGUUGAUUACCAUUCUAAGAUUUA